GCCAGUGUGGCAUAGUGGUUUCAGUGUUGGAUUACAACUCUGGAGAUCAGGGUUCAAUUCCCAGAUCAGCCA